GGAAUCUUGCGCAAUGGGCGAAAGCCUGACGCAGCCAUGCCGCGUGAAUGAUGAAGGUCUUAGGAUUGUAAAAUUCUUUCACCGGGGACGAUAAUGACGGUACCCGGAGAAGAAGCCCCGGCUAACUUCGUGCCAGAAGCCGCGGUAAUACGAAGGGGGCUAGCGUUGCUCGGAAUUACUGGGCGUAAAGGGAGCGUAGGCGGAUAGUUUAGUCAGAGGUGAAAGCCCAGGGCUCAACCUUGGAAUUGCCUUUGAUACUGGCUAUCUUGAGUAUGGAAGAGGUAUGUGGAACUCCGAGUGUAGAGGUGAAAUUCGUAGAUAUUCGGAAGAACACCAGUGGCGAAGGCGACAUACUGGUCCAUUACUGACGCUGAGGCUCGAAAGCGUGGGGAGCAAAC
rnacentral:rRNA from 1 species